CGAGGAAUAUUGGUCAAUGGGCGCAAGCCUGAACCAGCCAUCCCGCGUGCAGGAAGACGGCCCUAUGGGUUGUAAACUGCUUUUCCAGGGGGAGAAUUUUUCUGUCGUGACAGGAAUUGACGGUACCCUGGGAAUAAGCAUCGGCUAACUCCGUGCCAGCAGCCGCGGUAAUACGGAGGAUGCGAGCGUUAUCCGGAUUUAUUGGGUUUAAAGGGUGCGUAGGCGGAUUGAUAAGUCAGUGGUGAAAACCUGCAGCUAAACUGUAGACUUGCCGUUGAUACUGUCAGUCUUGAGUGUGGUCAAGGUAGGCGGAAUGUGUAAUGUAGCGGUGAAAUGCUUAGAUAUUACACAGAACACCGAUUGCGAAGGCAGCUUACUGGGCCAUUACUGACGCUGAUGCACGAAAGCGUGGGAUCGAACAG
rnacentral:rRNA from 1 species